rnacentral:tRNA from 1 species
GUCAGCUUGGCCGAGUGGUUAAGGCGUAUGACUUGAAAUCAUAUGGGUUCUCCCGCGCAGGUUCAAACCCUGCAGCUGACG